GCAGCCUGCAACUCGGCUGCAUGAAGCUGGAAUCGCUAGUAAUCGCGGAUCAGAACGCCGCGGUGAAUACGUUCCCGGGUCUUGUACACACCGCCCGUCACACCAUGGGAGCCGGAAACGCCCGAAGCCAGCGGCCCAACCGCAAGGGGGGANCUGUCGAAGGCGGGGCCGGUGACCGGGUGAAGUCGUAACAAGGUAUC
rnacentral:rRNA from 1 species